AGUGAACGCUGGCGGUAGGCCUAACACAUGCAAGUCGAACGGCAGCACAGUAAGAGCUUGCUCUUACGGGUGGCGAGUGGCGGACGGGUGAGGAAUACAUCGGAAUCUACUUUUUCGUGGGGGAUAACGUAGGGAAACUUACGCUAAUACCGCAUACGACCUACGGGUGAAAGCAGGGGAUCUUCGGACCUUGCGCGAUUGAAUGAGCCGAUGUCGGAUUAGCUAGUUGGCGGGGUAAAGGCCCACCAAGGCGACGAUCCGUAGCUGGUCUGAGAGGAUGAUCAGCCACACUGGAACUGAGACACGGUCCAGACUCCUACGGGAGGCAGCAGUGGGAAAUAUGGGACAAGGGGGGCAAGCCUGAUCCAGCCAUACCGCGUGGGUGAAGAAGGCCUUCGGGUUGUAAAGCCCUUUUGUGGGGAAAAAAAGGCAGCAGGUUAAAACCCCGCUGUUCGGACGGUACCCAAAGAAUAAGCACCGGCUAACUUCGU
rnacentral:rRNA from 1 species